rnacentral:lncRNA from 1 species
AACUUAAUAGGUAUUGGAUCAUCAAAAUUGACAAUACUACACAAACAGGAAAAAUUAUAUCUGUUCAGUUUUUCCAUCUUUGUGCAAUGAUAUUCAACACUUUUUAGUGUUUUGUUUUCCAUCUAUUUAUCGGUAUUGUUACACAAUCUUUCAGACUCAUAUAUAUAUAUAUAUAUAUAUAUAUAUACACUUAGCAUUUAUUGUGAGGAAUGGUAAUUGGUCUUGAUGAUCAAUUUUCAGAUCUGCUGGGCAGUCACUUCCAGUUUGAUGAUUAUUUGAAGUCUUAUUUUACCAACUGAGUACUGAAUUUUUCUUGUAUGGCUAAUAAAGUUAUACUUUACAUGACAACAUGUGCAAAAAGAGGGACGAAAGAUGAAAGAGGGACACUUAAUUAUAUUUUCAAUUGCUUUUACUUCAGUAAAAAAUAUUUCAGAACAAAUUCAAAGCUACCAUCUUCCUACUUAAACUUGUCAUUCUCAAUACUUGCUUUUCUAUUGUUUUUAUGGUUCAACUUCUUAAAAUGCCAUACAUUAUAAAUCAGUUGUCUUUUUCACUGUACACUAUAUAGCAUGAGAAGAAAAAAGCUUAGAAAAUUGGUAAUUGAAUAAUUAAAAAACAAUCAAUCUUCUUUCAAUGAUUAUUGUUCUGUUUUCAUUUUUGUUUGUUUACCUUAUGUGGACCACAUGGUACAAGGAUUUUAAUUACUGUUAGUCUAAAAAUAAUUAGUUUUAAUUUAAUUUUGAAAAAGCAUGAUUUAAUCUGUAAGUCUGAAAAUAUUGUGUCAUAUUUUUUUGUUUUUAUAAUAACUUUACAGUUAUAAACAUACUGAAGAAAUGAAUAUAUAAAUUACGAAGAACAGUUGUUUGCUCUCUUAAUGUUAGGAAGUGUUAUCUUAUUUUCAGUUCUUAAAAUAGAAUUGUUAUGUAUAAAGUAAGCCUAUACAAACUUCAAGCACAGUAAUCAUUAUACAUGUACUAUAUAUAUAUAGAGAGAACUAUUUAUCACGCUAGAAGUUUUGUAGUUGUAUUUUUUAUAUUUUAUUUUAUAUCUUUAUAUUCAUAUACAAUGCAUAUAUAUCAAUUCCGUCCAAUAUUUUCUGUAAAAAUGAUUGUGUAUGACAAUUGUAAAUUUAUUAAUUUUCCCAAAAUAUUGGUUGUUUUUGUUUUUGAAUUGUUUAUUCCACAACUAAAUACAUUCUUAGUUAUUUGGUUAAGUCAAAUGUGUAGAGCUAUUUUAUUUGCUAAUUUUUUUUCUUUUGCUUAUGAACUACCGGUACUUAGAUUAAAUCAGUUUACAGACAAAUUGUAUUGUGGAAGUUUAUUCCUAAUUGAACUUCUUUUCUUAUUGUAAUUGAGUAAGGUACAUGAAACUUUAAAAUAUUUUUAUUUUACUUUUCUAUUUGGCUAGAAAAGAUGAAUUGUCUGAAAGAAAUAGAACGUAAAGUAAUAAAUUUGUCAAAUUUAUAUGAUUGUUUUACAAGCUUCCCUAAAUAGGUUUAAUGUCACUUAAAUAGUUCACUGUAGUUUUAUAAAAGAGAACUGAUAUCAUCAAAUAAAUUUAAAUGUUUGGCAUACAUGUCCUUCUUUGAAAGAAAAGGUAUGAUUAAGCAGUUUUUUUCUGCUUUUUGAAUUUGAAAAUCUUAGAAUCUAUGUAUUUUUAGAUCUUUUAAGUAUACUUUACAAAACUUGGAUCUGACUUAAAAAGUACAUAAUUUAAUUUUUAUACAUCAAAAUGGUACCAAAAAUGCCUAAUAAUGAGAUUUUUCAAGUAACAUUGUGAAAUGAGCUACAUGUGUAUCCAGGAAAGAGGUUUUGCUACAAGUAGUCUUAUACAAAUAUGUUUAUGAGAAAUUCCAAUAUCUUUAAUGGGAGGACGGGGUUCAGGCAUUGCUUAUGUUUUGUUCUUUAAACAAAAUGUUAUCUGUAAGAAUGUAAUAGAUUGUGGAUUAAUCUGCCUUUAUUUAAUAUUUAAAGUUAAGUUUUUAUGGCUAAAUACAGAUUUACACUUUAUAAAUUUUUGUCCAUAUAAAAUGCUUUUCAUUGUAUAAAACAUAUAAUAUAAACAUGUAUUCUCCAUCAGAUGCAAGUUAUUUUUAUGUAUUUUUCAUUGAAAUUAAAAUGUAUUAAUAUUUUGAUGUUCCAGGAAGUGUUAGAAUCAAAUUGAAUGAACAGAUGAUUUAAUUGAGAACAUAGGCUACUGUGAUAAAAUUAUUGUUGGAUUGUUGAAGGUUUUUAUUUUUAUUUGUUAAAAAUGUUGUGGACAACAUGAAAAAACCUAAGCUGGACUUAGAGAGAUUAAUUUGUGAUAAUUUUUUUAACUAUCAUAGACGUUUAAUAUUAUAUUUUAUUAACACAUAUAUUUGUAAUGUUAAUGACCAUUCAUUGAUAGCUUUUUUAUGUACACUGAUUUGUGCAAUAUAAACUUUGCAAUCUUUAACUCACUUAUAAAACAGUUUUACCAAGUUUGAAAAAAAAGUAAUCUUUCCUACUAUACAUUAUUAUCAUAUUGUAAACAUAGUUUGAAGAUAGUGAUUUCUUUCAUAUUUGAUAAUGAAAAAUUUCAAUUCAUAUUGCAGAUACCAAAACUUUUCACACUUUUAUAGCCAAUUGGUUAUAAUUAUAUGUAAAAAUAAUGUUGUAUAUCAUAAUGAGUUAAUUUCAAUGAAGUUGAUAAAACUGAUUUAUUCAUGUAAGAAUAUUUUCUUAUCCAUCUGUCAAGCAUUUUAUAUUUAGUAAGUAGAAUUAACCAAUUCUAUGACACAAGGAUACAACACUCUAGUAGUGUUUGCUGCUGGCAGCCUCAAGUUUUUUUUAUGAAUAAAAUAUUAACAAUUUA